GCACUGGAGGUUCAGUUGUUGAAUUCUCACCUUCUGUGCAAGAGACCUGGGUUCGAGUUCCGGCCAAUGUA
rnacentral:tRNA from 1 species